UAGGGAAUCUUCCACAAUGGGCGCAGGCCUGAUGGAGCAACACCGCGUGAGUGAAGAAGGGUUUCGGCUCGUAAAGCUCUGUUGUUAAAGAAGAACACGUAUGAGAGUAACUGUUCAUACGUUGACGGUAUUUAACCAGAAAGUCACGGCUAACUACGUGCCGG
rnacentral:rRNA from 1 species